rnacentral:rRNA from 1 species
AUUGAACGCUGGCGGCAUGCCUUACACAUGCAAGUCGAACGGUAACAGAUCUUCGGAUGCUGACGAGUGGCGAACGGGGGAGUAAUACAUCGGAACGGGCCUAGUAGUGGGGGAUAACUACUCGAAACAGGGGCUAAUACCGCAUGAGAUCUACGGAAGAAAGCAGGGGAUUGCAAGACCUUGUGCCACUAGAGCGGCCGAUGGCAGAUUAGGUAGUUGGUGGGAUAAAAGCUUACCAAGCCGACGAUCUGUAGCUGGUCUGAGAGGACGAUCAGCCACACUGGGACUGAGACACGGCCCAGACGCCUACGGGAGGCAGCAGUGGGGAAUUUUGGACAAUGGGCGCAAGCCUGAUCCAGCAAUGCCGCGUGCAGGAUGAAGGCCUUCGGGUUGUAAACUGCUUUUGUACGGAACGAAAAGCCCUGGGUUAAUACCCUGGGGUCAUGACGGUACCGUAAGAAUAAGCACCGGCUAACUACGUGCCAGCCGCCGCAGUAAGAC